UAGACUAAUGAUGAGUAUUCUGUGGUGUCUGAAUCAAUGAUUUUUAUUAAAUCCUCUAACUCUAAGGUCUAU